rnacentral:rRNA from 1 species
GAUGAACGCUAGCGGCAGGCUUAAUACAUGCAAGUCGAGGGGCAGCAUGAUUGUAGCAAUACAAUUGAUGGCGACCGGCAAACGGGUGCGGAACACGUACACAACCUUCCAACAAGUGGGGGAUAGCCCAGAGAAAUUUGGAUUAAUACCCCGUAACAUAGCGAUGUGGCAUCACAUUGCUAUUAUAGAUUUUUCGCUUGUUGAUGGGUGUGCGGCUGAUUAGAUAGUUGGCGGGGUAACGGCCCACCAAGUCUACGAUCAGUAGCUGAUGUGAGAGCAUGAUCAGCCACACGGGCACUGAGACACGGGCCCGACUCCUACGGGAGGCAGCAGUAAGGAAUAUUGGACAAUGGACGCAAGUCUGAUCCAGCCAUGCCGCGUGAAGGAUUAAGGUCCUCUGGAUUGUAAACUUCUUUUAUAAGGGACAAAAAAGGCUUUUCUAAGUCGUCUGACGGUACCUGGAGAAUAAGCACCGGCUAACUACGUGCCAGCAGCCGCCGUAACAC